UACGGAGGGCGCAAGCGUUAUCCGGAAUUAUUGGGCGUAAAGAGCUCGUAGGCGGUUUGUCGCGUCUGCCGUGAAAGUCCGGGGCUCAACUCCGGAUCUGCGGUGGGUACGGGCAGACUAGAGUGCAGUAGGGGAGACUGGAAUUCCUGGUGUAGCGGUGAAAUGCGCAGAUAUCAGGAGGAACACCGAUGGCGAAGGCAGGUCUCUGGGCUGUAACUGACGCUGAGGAGCGAAAGCAUGGGGAGCGAACAGG
rnacentral:rRNA from 1 species